GGAGUAACACAACUAUUAAGCAAAAGGAGGUUCUCUCGUUUUUGAAUCAGAGAUGUUAGAAAGAAGGCACUGACCAAGAUACACCAGCAAUCCAAAGGCGGAAUGGUAGACCCAGGUUCAUUUCCCAGCAGGUGCAUCCAGCUGGUGCAAUGAGGAUACAUGCACCCUCGUGAUGGUCGGGUCUAUCACUAUCAUCUGAGCAUAUGAUGAAAGUAAGGUCCAGCUGAGCUCUAAUUUUUCAACUGAGGGAUAAUUUACAAACGAAACCCUUCACUAACAAGUACCAACUACUCAUUAAAUCUGUUUCUCUAAUAAUUAACAGUAAAAAUAUCAUAUACAUUAGGCAGAGAGACCGAGAAAAGUUACAGAUAAUUACACAUCGUAAUGAUAAAUCUUGACAUUGGCACAGGCUAGAUUCUGUCUCCAGUGAAUACGGUCCACUGCUAGCAAGAUGGUCAUGUGCACAUGAUAACACAGCUAGGCAAGAAGUUCUGUCCGGAACUCUUGUCGACAACCUGGUUUCUAUACUUCUUCAAUACAAAUUUGGUUGCUUGCCUUUAGAAUGUUGAAC
rnacentral:misc_RNA from 1 species